rnacentral:rRNA from 1 species
UACGGAGGGGGCUAGCGUUGUUCGGAAUCAUUGGGCGUAAAGGGCGCGUAGGCGGUUUUGCAAGUCGAAUGUGAAAGCCCAGGGCUCAACCUUGGAAGUGCAUCCGAAACUGCGAAACUCGAGUCUCGGAGAGGGUGGUGGAAUUCCCAGUGUAGAGGUGAAAUUCGUAGAUAUUGGGAGGAACACCGGUGGCGAAGGCGACCGCCUGGACGAAGACUGACGCUGAGGCGCGAGAGCGUGGGGAGCAAACAGG